CCUACGGGUGGCAGCAGUGGGGAAUAUUGGACAAUGGGGGCAACCCUGAUCCAGCCAUGCCGCGUGUGUGAAGAAGGCCCUCGGGUUGUAAAGCACUUUCAGUGAGGAAGAACGCCUGGUGGUUAAUACCCAUCAGGAAAGACAUCACUCACAGAAGAAGCACCGGCUAACUCCGUGCCAGCAGCCGCGGUAAUACGGAGGGUGCGAGCGUUAAUCGGAAUUACUGGGCGUAAAGCGCGCGUAGGUGGCUUGAUAAGCCGGUUGUGAAAGCCCCGGGCUCAACCUGGGAACGGCAUCCGGAACUGUCAAGCUAGAGUGCAGGAGAGGAAGGGAGAAUUCCCGGUGUAGCGGUGAAAUGCGUAGAGAUCGGGAGGAAUACCAGUGGCGAAGGCGGCCUUCUGGACUGACACUGACACUGAGGUGCGAAAGCGUGGGUAGCAAACAGGAUUAGAUACCCUGUAGUC
rnacentral:rRNA from 1 species